rfam:Schistosoma mattheei strain Denwood, Zambia genome assembly, scaffold: SMTD_scaffold0002092
UUACUUCUGAGGAGUCCCGCAAUAGGACGAAACGGCCGUCCAGUGC